GACGAACGCUGGCGGCGUGCUUAACACAUGCAAGUCGAACGGAAAGGCCCUGCUUGCAGGGUGCUCGAGUGGCGAACGGGUGAGUAACACGUGGGUGAUCUGCCCCUUACUUUGGGAUAAGCCUGGGAAACUGGGUCUAAUACUGGAUAGGACCAUGCUGUAGGUGGUGUGGUGGAAAGAUUAGUUUCGGUAAGGGAUGAGCUCGCGGCCUAUCAGCUUGUUGGUGGGGUAAUGGCCUACCAAGGCGUCGACGGGUAGCCGGCCUGAGAGGGUGGACGGCCACAUUGGGACUGAGAUACGGCCCAGACUCCUACGGGAGGCAGCAGUGGGGAAUAUUGCACAAUGGGCGCAAGCCUGAUGCAGCGACGCCGCGUGGGGGAUGACGGCCUUCGGGUUGUAAACUCCUUUCAGCCAUGACGAAGCCCUUGUGGUGACGGUAGUGGUAGAAGAAGCACCGGCUAACUACGUGCCAGCAGCCGCGGUAAUACGUAGGGUGCGAGCGUUGUCCGGAAUUACUGGGCGUAAAGAGCUCGUAGGUGGUCUGUCGCGUCAUUUGUGAAAGCCCGGGGCUUAACUCCGGGUUGGCAGGUGAUACGGGCAUGACUGGGGUACUGUAGGGGAGACUGGAAUUCCUGGUGUAGCGGUGAAAUGCGCAGAUAUCAGGAGGAACACCGGUGGCGAAGGCGGGUCUCUGGGCAGUAACUGACGCUGAGGAGCGAAAGCAUGGGUAGCGGACAGG
rnacentral:rRNA from 1 species